rnacentral:rRNA from 1 species
AACGAACGCUGGCGGCAUGCCUAACACAUGCAAGUCGAACGAUUGCCUUCGGGUGAUAGUGGCGCACGGGUGCGUAACGCGUGGGAAUCUGCCCUUAGGUUCGGAAUAACAGCUGGAAACGGCUGCUAAUACCGGACGAUAUCGCGAGAUCAAAGAUUUAUCGCCUGAGGAUGAGCCCGCGUUGGAUUAGGUAGUUGGUGGGGUAAAGGCCUACCAAGCCGACGAUCCAUAGCUGGUCUGAGAGGAUGAUCAGCCACACUGGGACUGAGACACGGCCCAGACUCCUACGGGAGGCAGCAGUGGGGAAUAUUGGACAAUGGGCGCAAGCCUGAUCCAGCAAUGCCGUGUGAGUGAUGAAGGCCCUAGGGUUGUAAAGCUCUUUUACCCGGGAAGAUAAUGACUGUACCGGGAGAAUAAGCCCCGGCUAACUCCGU